rnacentral:rRNA from 1 species
CCUACGGGUGGCAGCAGUGGGGAAUAUUGCACAAUGGGGGAAACCCUGAUGCAGCGACGCCGCGUGAAGGAAGAAGUAUUUCGGUAUGUAAACUUCUAUCAGCAGGGAAGAAAAUGACGGUACCUGACUAAGAAGCCCCGGCUAACUACGUGCCAGCAGCCGCGGUAAUACGUAGGGGGCAAGCGUUAUCCGGAUUUACUGGGUGAAAAGGGAGCGUAGGCGGUUUAGCAAGUCAGAAGUGAAAGCCCGGGGCUCAACUCCGGGACUGCUUUUGAAACUGUUGAACUAGAGUGCAGGAGAGGUAAGUGGAAUUCCUAGUGUAGCGGUGAAAUGCGUAGAUAUUAGGAAGAACACCAGUGGCGAAGGCGGCUUACUGGACUGUAAAUGACGCUGAGGCUCGAAAGCGUGGGGAGCAAACAGGAUUAGAUACCCCGGUAGUC